UGCAAGUUUGUGUGCAAGGCAGUGAACUGGAAAGAUAGGGCAAAAUGACUAUAGGCGCGGGUACGCCUACACUGCCCAGGUGUGGAAAAGUGCAGGGCUGAGGGCACUCAUUUCUGUGACAGUGCGCACGUCCCGCGCUUUUACGCACGGUCUCUUUGCAGUAAUGCAUAAACGUUGUUUUGGUGUUAUGACACUUGCUUACUCGAUAUUUUACAACUAAUAAAAAAUAAGAAAUUAAAGAUGUUUACAUUUGGUUUAUGGCUAGAGCUUGUGAUAAAGCGAAUUAGAAUUCCAUUCCGAUUCUAAACAAUGUGUAAUGACGUAUUCCAUCUCUAUGCGACCGAGAGGGUCACAAUACCGACGCUUCACAUGGAACUCCAGAACCCAAGAGAUAUGUUCAGAACUCUCAAAAAAUCUUCAGUUCUUGAUCGACAAACAACGAGAGAGACAGCAUUAUUAUGGCGAGCUUUUCAUUCAUCUUCCCUGAAGACAGACAUUGUUCCGUUAAGGACAACGAAGUCAAUUCAGGGUGGAUGUCAAUGGUGACCCAGCUCAACGCCCUUGGCGGUCCAGAGUCAGAGAGUCAGAAGUUCCGUCAGAGCUUUGCAGAGGAACUUGGUGACAAGUACCACUACUCGAAUGCCAUCGACAGCUCUCUGCUCUGGACUGUUGGGUACACCCCCUACAUUCCCGCAGCUCUGAAAGGAAGAAGCUUCCCCUCUGUCGAGAGCUUCUUCCUGGAUGAGUGGGAGCCACUGACACUCCUGCAGACUCCUCAGGUUCUGUCCACCAGUGUUUCCAUCGAGGAAGACAACCUGAUCCAGUCUGCUGCAGGCCUAGUGUCUCAGGUUCUGUCCACCAGUGUUGCUAUCGUGGAGAAUGACCUGAUCCAGUCUGCUGCAGGCCUAGUGUCUCAGGUUCUCCCCACCAGUGUUGCUAUCGUGGAGAAUGACCUGAUCCAGUCUGCUGCAGGCCUAGUGUCUCAGGUUCUGUCCACCAGUGUUGCUAUCGUGGAGAGUGACCUGAUCCAGUCUGCUGCAGGCCUAGUUUCUCAGGUUCUGUCCACCAGUGUUGCCAUCGUGGAGAAUGACCUGAUCCAGUCUGCUGCAGGCCUAGUGUCUCAGGUUCUGUCCACCAGUGUUACCAUCGUGGAGAAUGACCGGAUCCAGUCUGCUGCAGGCCUAGUGUCUCAGGUUCUGUCCACCAGUGUUUCCAUUGUGGAGAAUGACCGGAUCCAGUCUGCUGCAGGCCUAGUGUCUCAGGUUCUGUCCACCAGUGUUUCCAUCGUGGAGAAUGACCUGAUCCAGUCUGCUGCAGGCGUAGUGUCUCAGGUUCUGUCCACCAGUGUUGCCAUCGUGGAGAGUGACCUGAUCCAGUCUGCUGCAGGCCUAGUGUCUCAGGAGCUGUCCAGCAGUGAUGCUAGAGUGAAGGAUCUCUACUUCUCUUGGUUGAGACAUCAGCCACAUGGACCUCAGGUUGGUUGGAGUCUCUCAGUGUGGAAUCAUCACGAUCCUUCACUCUAGCAUCACUGCUGGACAGCUCCUGAGACACUAGGCCUGCAGCAGACUGGAUCAGGUCACUCUCCACGAUGGCAACACUGGUGGACAGAACCUGAGGAGUCUGCAGGAAUGUCAGUGGCUCCCACUCAUCCAGGAAGAAGCUCUCGACAGAGGGGAAGCUUCUUCCUUUCAGAGCUGCAGGAAUGUAGGGGGUGUACCCAACAGUCCAGAGCAGAGAGCUGUCGAUGGCAUUCGCGUAGUGGUACUUGUCACCAAGUUCCUCUGCAAAGCUCUGACGGAACUUCUGACUCUGGACCGCCAAGGGCGUUGAGCUGGGUCACCAUUGACAUCCACCCUGAAAGAAACACCAACACAGGGUUAACAAAACUGAUUUCAGCAUUACAAGCAAGAGAUAUUCUUCAUUGCAUUCUUCAUAUUCUUCAUGCAUCCCAAUAACAUCUUAUUUCUCCUGAAGUGUGCACUCAUUCAAUACUUUCAACAAAUCUAAAAUCAUUGGCUAGUACCAUAUUAACCAUAUUUAAUAUA
rnacentral:lncRNA from 8 species